rnacentral:lncRNA from 1 species
ACUGAGGGCUCCUGCGAAUUUCCAUUCACAAGUUUCCCAGGCCCCUGGCAGCACGGCUGUGCUUUUCUCUGGCUGCGGAAUGAAAUGCUCAGCCCCCAGCACUGACUUGUGGCAGGUGCCCCAGACCGGUCAGCUGGCUGUCACCAUAGUCACACCACCAGCACGCGCCACCCGAGUAGCUUGGGGAAAGUAAUACCAGAGUGUCUAAAGGCGGAUCUGCACCGCAGGCUUCUGUGUCUCCCACAGCCAUUGGCAUAAGGAAACACGGACACGGACUACUGGCCCUCAGUGUGCCGUGUGAGCAUCCACGCUCCCUCCCACGAACACAUGGGGUUCUUGACACAAACUCGCAGGAACGAGAAGGUAACAUGGGUCGGGCCCACCCACUGUGUCUCACCACAGAUCAGCCUUCUUCCCAACAUCAGUGCAGUCUACAGCGUGUCUACUGAUUAUAGCUAAGCACUUCUUCACUAACCAGUUAGAAAAGAAACCCCAAAAGGCUUUCCAUGACAGCCUCGAGAAAUUCCGGAUUAUUUAGCAUGUAGAUCUCACCUGGUAUGUGUUUUAUUUCAUGCCCUAAGAUAAAAAAUAUUAUUUCAUUUAUACUCAAAGUGGUGGAUGGAUAUUAAUCUUUACCUCCAAGAUGACUAGCAGAUUUAUAAAGAAAAAGAAAUUUAAAGAACUUCCACAAGAAAUAAGUUACACCAAGA